GGUGUCUUUUACACAGAGCACAUAUUCCCCGAAACUAGAGGCUCGGGUUAGAACACAGAGCCAUGGGAAUGGUGCUUAGAGACCUACAGACACAGGUGUUUAGACUGCUGUCCUCCACUGGUACCAGCUCACGGGCAACUGUCAAACGGACCUGAGUGAGUGGGACCCGGAUCUGGAGUCAAGGUAGACCUACGUGCCCACAGGCUGGGAACACCCUUCCCGCAAGUGACCUCCUAUGAUAUUGCGAUUUAUAAUAAGAAAUCGAGAUUUGUCAUCAUCCAGGUCUCCUGACACACAGCUCCUAAAACCCUUGGAAUUUUCUAAGCGAUAAGAGCCAUAAAGUUGUCUUUUGUCAUUCAUCACAACCCUUCCUGAGUUUACAUUAACGGGGUGACUUCCGGGAAGCCCCCUAUAGAUGGGAACCAACCGUAUAAUUAGAGAGUUGGAACUUUCCGCUCUCAGCUCUUCCUCAACCCACCGCUGACCUCCAGGGAGAGGAGAGGGGCUGAACAUUAAGAUCAGUCACCAAAAACCAAUGAUUUAAUUAGCUGUGCCUCAUGUAAUGAAGCUUCCACAAAAAGUCCUAAAUGAGGGUGCUUGGAGAGUUUCAAGGUCGGUAAAUACACGGAGGUGCUGGGCAGGUAGGGGCCCAGAGAGGAUGUGAAAACUCCAUGCCCGUCCCCCAUAUCUUGUACUUGUCUGCUUGCUCCAGAGUCAUAUCCUUUGUAAUCAACCAGCAAUCUACUAGGUGAAUGCUUUUCCCGAGUUCUGUGAGCCAUUCUAGCAAACGAUCAAACCCAAAGAGGGUUACGAAGACGUCUGACACAGAGCCUUGGUGGCAACCUUGACUUGCCACGGGUGCGCGAAGCAGGGGGCAGCCUCGUGGGACUGAGCCACUCACCUGAGGGGUGGACACUAACUCCAGGUAAAUCGCAUCAGACUUGAGCUACUGUGGGACACCCAGCUGGUGUGGGAGAAUUGGAGAUCUGCUUGGUGUGGGGAGAACGCGCACACAUUUGGUGACCAGGAGUAUGGAGAGUAUUCUGUGAACAGACAGAACACGGAGGAGUCUUUUGGGUGCACCUCCCAAGGUCAGACCAGGAGGAAGGAUCAGCGAGGAGCCUUUGCCAGGAGGCCCGGGGACCAGCAUCUUGAGAUUAAUAGGCAGAUAAUGGAAGUUCUUUUUGGCCUGCUUUUGGGGGGAUCUCCGAGCUUCCAGAUGGAGUGUCCUCUAUCCGAAUAAACAUCAUCACAAAAGGCAUGCCACUAGCUGAUUGAGGAAUCAUCUGGGCUCCAAGGAUCAGAGAUCUCCUGGACCAAGGAACUCAAGAAAGACAUCAUUUAAGAGGUGAAAUACUCAUCUGUCCUUUGACAUGUUAAUGUACCUGUAGAGUUGGUAUCUGGUUAGAUCACUGGGUGUAAUUGGGGCCCCCUAGUGGUGGAUUAAUCCCGUGCAUUCUACCACAUAAAGGUCUAUGUCAGCCCAGCCCCGGAGUUAAAUUUUCUUGAGGCUUAAAGGACGGCAGGGAGCAGAACUACCCCUACCGUCUUCACUCACUUUUUAGUAUAAAGGACAGUCUCUUGGUUUAAUAAUGGGCACAGCUGAAUUAUAACCUUUGCCUUUUGUACAGAGCAAUUGUGAAGCACAUU
rnacentral:lncRNA from 1 species